GGUUUACCUGCCGAUAGUCCUGUAUGUGUGAUCUGUUCAAAUGAUGGGGUCUUUUGCAGUUUGACCGAUGCCGUGUUGUGUGCUGUUAUAUGUGUGUAACACAGGAUGAAAAUAAAUCUGCCAGGGUCAAUUCAGUUCAUCUAUCUAAGAAUUAACACUGAAACCUGAGAAUAUUACUCAUUUACUGACUCUCAUUAUCUUCUAUACCUCAUAUUAAGGCAUAUAUGUCAUUUGUUUAGACACUUAUGUCCAUUAUGAUACCAAUUAUAGUGGUGUUUCUUUGCAGAAGCAUUUUAAUGAUGGUUAUAACAGUGUUUGACAUGUCUGUCUAAAGGUGCACAGUACUUAAAAACUGUACUACUUCAUGCCUUUGUCAAGCAUCUGAACAGAAUACACUACACAAAUACAUGAUAAUUCACUUUUGGUAUGCAAACGGGGAGCAUGCUGCUUAAUACUGCAUUUGCAUGAGAAAUAUUAUAUUAUACACGAUUGGGGGCUGGUAGUUUUACAGAGAGGAUGCUUUUUGGUUUUAUUUUUCAACAUGUGGGAUGCGAUCCUCCACAUCCCCCCUUAAAGACCUGAGCCCUGAAGAUACCUUCCACAUCUUUAAAACCUUCAGACUACCAGAGCACUGAGCAUUGAGUUUUAACACCAUGAUGUCAAGCUGCAUGAACAUCUCAUAUAAACCCCACCAGCAGACAUCAGAGACACAAAACAUUACGACAUCUCACUGAAGAGCGUGUCAUUGAAGCGUGUGUCCUGUCUCGAGCACUUCGGACCUUCACAGUGAUCGGCCAACAAAAGACACGAACGCCCGUCAGCUGCCAGCUUAUAUUCCUAACAUCAGCACAUUGCUGGACGUGGGAUCAUCGGGCAGAGGUACCAGCUGCUGAAGACACAACUGUUCGCAGCCUCCAUUGAAUCCGUCUGUACAGUCGGUGCCCAAUGAGUAGUCAUAGCAACC